rnacentral:rRNA from 1 species
CCUACGGGUGGCAGCAGUAGGGAAUCUUCCACAAUGGGCGAAAGCCUGAUGGAGCAAAGCCGCGUGGGUGAAGAAGGUCUUCGGAUCGUAAAACCCUGUUUUUAGAGAAGAAAGUGCGUGAGAGUAACUGUUCACGUUUCGACGGUAUCUAACAAGAAAGCCACGGCUAACUACGUGCCAGGAGCCGGGGUAAUACGUAGGUGGCAAGCGUUAUCCGGAUUUAUUGGGCGUAAAGGGAACGCAGGCGGUCUUUGAAGGCUGAUGUGAAAGCCGUCGGCUUAACCGGAGUAGUGCAUUGGAAACUGGGAGCCUUGAGUGCAGAAGAGGAGUGUGGAACUCCAUGUGUAGCGGUGAAAUGCGUAGAUAUAUGGAAGAACACCAGUGGCGAAAGCGGCUCUCUGGCCUGUAACUGACGCUGAGGUUCGAAAGCGUGGGUAGCAAACAGGAUUAGAUACCCGGGUAGUC